rnacentral:rRNA from 1 species
ACAUCCAGCGAACUUGGCAGAGAUGCCUUGGUGCCUUCGGGAACGCUGAGACAGGUGCUGCAUGGCUGUCGUCAGCUCGUGUUGUGAAAUGUUGGGUUAAGUCCCCGNAACGAGCGCAACCCUUAUCCUUUGUUGCCAGCGAUUCGGUCGGGAACUCAAAGGAGACUGCCGGUGAUAAACCGGAGGAAGGUGGGGAUGACGUCAAGUCAUCAUGGCCCUUACGAGUAGGGCUACACACGUGCUACAAUGGCGCAUACAAAGAGAAGCGACCUCGCGAGAGCAAGCGGACCUCAUAAAGUGCGUCGUAGUCCGGAUCGGAGUCUGCAACUCGACUCCGUGAAGUCGGAAUCGCUAGUAAUCGUGGAUCAGAAUGCCACGGUGAAUACGUUCCCGGGCCUUGUACACACCGCCCGUCACACCAUGGGAGUGGGUUGCAAAAGAAGUAGGUAGCUUAACCUUCGGGAGGGCGCUUACCACUUUGUGAUUCAUGACUGGGGUGAAGUCGUAACAAGGUAAGCGUAGCGAG